rnacentral:rRNA from 1 species
CUGACCUCAAAUCAGGUAGGACUACCCGCUGAACUUAAGCAUAUCAAUAAGCGGAGGAAAAGAAACUAACAAGGAUUCCCCUAGUAACUGCGAGUGAAGCGGGAAA